ensembl:lncRNA
UGCCAUUGCACUUUGUUCUAUUGGUGAACGUGCAAUCACUUGAGAACAAACUGGAAGCUCCGUUCGAGACUAUCCUAUCAACGGGACCUAAAAAACUGUAAUAUCCUAUGUUUCUCAGUGUAGUGGCUGAACGAGGACAUAUACGUACAUCUUGCUGGUUUUUCUAUGCAUCAUCAAGACUGGACGGCAGACUCAGGUAAGACGUAGGGAGGUGGCGGUUGUCUCUUUGAUAAUAAUAGCUGGUGCGUGCAAUCUCUGAAAUUAUGGAAGUCUUGAGUUUUUGCUCACCUGAGGUAGAAUACCUCAUGAUAAGCUGGAGACUGUACAAUUUACCAAGAGCUUUCAUCUGUUUUUUUUCCGUUUACCACCGUUUACCACCGUUUACCACGAUGCUGGCACUAGGACCGCCCUGAACAAGCUGUAUAGGGCCAUAAGCAAACAAGAAAAUGCACAUCCAUUCCUCUUAUGCACUCAGGACAUGCAUUGGUAGUACCCAACUCGCUAACGACCCUCAGGUUCUAAUGGCCUGGUACUCAGGGCCCUGUUGUCCCUUCAUCAGGUCCUAAUGGCCUGGUACUCAGGGCUCUAUUGUCCCUCCAUCAGGUCCUAAUGGCCUGGUACUCAGAGCUCUGUUGUCCCUCCAUCAGGUCGUAAUGGCCUGGUACUCAGGGCUCUAUUGUCCCUCCAUCAGGUCCUAAAGGCCUGGUACUCAGGGCUCUAUUGUCCCUCCAUCAGGUCGUAAUGGCCUGGUACUCAGGGCUCUAUUGUCCCUCCAUCAGGUCCUAAUGGCCUGGUACUAUUGUCCCUCUAACCACUCUGAAAUCAAUGCAAAUGAAAUCGAAAAUUACAUCAAAAACGUAUCAUCAAAACAGUAUGUGCUUUUAAAACUCACCUCACUGUGAUUGAUCAAUUUGAAGAAAGAGGUUCAACAACAGGUUAAAACUGAGUGGAAAAACAUGUUUGUUGUGGAUGUUGGUUUCAAGGCCUAACACAAUGAAAUGGACAGCGCUUUUACGGGGAUGUUUAAUUCAAAACACCCAUAGACAUAUUAGAGUUUAUGCGUACUCUCACCACAUAUGCUGCUGGUACUGUCCAUUAUCUGUCCUGUAGUCACUUUACC